rnacentral:rRNA from 1 species
UACGUAGGGUGCGAGCGUUGUCCGGAAUUAUUGGGCGUAAAGGGCUCGUAGGCGGUUUGUCGCGUCGGGAGUGAAAACUCAGGGCUUAACCCUGAGCCUGCUUCCGAUACGGGCAGACUAGAGGUAUGCAGGGGAGAACGGAAUUCCUGGUGUAGCGGUGGAAUGCGCGGAUAUCAGGAGGAACACCGGUGGCGAAGGCGGGUCUCUGGGCCGUUACUGACGCUGAGGAGCGAAAGCGUGGGGAGCGAACAGG